UUGUGAGUGCCGUCAUGCUGUACGGCAGCUUUGCUUUGCCUCUAUGUGUUAGGGAUCUCUCUGGCUGCCUCUGCUGGUCUUAUGAAAUUGUACCAUGAAUUAAAAACAGAAAAGACUCUAAUGAAGAGCUGCAACAUAAUAUGUGUGUAAAGUGCCAUCAAGUUGCAGAAAAAAGUUUGAAUCCAAUGGCCCCUUUAAGACCAACAAAAAUUAUUCUUGGUACAAGCUUUUGAGUGCAUGCACAUUUCUUCAGAUGUACUAAAACACCCAGACAACAUGAUCACCAGAUGUAACAGAUGUAGCUAUACCAUCUCAGACUUGAUGCUGUGUUACUGAAGAAAAUUUGUGGACAAAUAUAGAACUUGAGAUUGGAUCAUGUUUCCCUAAAUGUCUUCAUAGAAUUGCACAUUUUUCUGUAAUUGCCAGCGACAGUGGCCUCUAAUGAGAGGAGCUUCAGUGCCCUAAAAUGAAUUAAGUCAUACUUUCCAUUCACAAUGUUGCAAGACCAUUUGAAUGGGCUAGCAAUUUUGAACAUCAGCAGUGAUAAGGCAAAGUUGCUUGAUUUUUCUCAUGUAAUUGAUGAAUUUGCCCAAAGAAAAGCACAUAAAGCAUUUCUGAAUGUGAAGAAGUGAUGACCAUUUCUGAUCUGAAAUUCCAAAUACAGAAUAAAUAUGAAUAUACUAUUUAUUUACUGCUUCUUAUUAUGGUAUUGUGCUCUAUUGUCUUAUGUACAUCUUGAAUAAA